rnacentral:rRNA from 1 species
UGCAAAUGUCCUUUAGUAAUGGCGAAUGAACAAGGACAAGCUCAUACUGACAAUUUGGACCUUGGUCCCAAAUUGCAAUGUGGAGUUGCCAUGGCAAUGAAAGUGUUCCUGUGUGCCUCUUGGGGGGGAGCAGCAAUGAAGGUGAAAUUCCUGCGUGUCAUGUUCAAUCUUUCCUGCAUGGCUGGCAUCUUAGAGUCGCGUUUCUUGGAAGCAAAGCGCAAAAAUGGUGGUAGAAUUCAUCCAAAGCUGAAUAUUUGUUUGGGCCCGAUAGUAAACAAGUACCAUGAGGGAAAUGUGAAAAGGACUUUGAAAAGAAAGUUAAAAGUACUUGACAUUGCUGCAAAUAAAGCAAAUGGUUCUGAGCAUGUUAGCAAGAUUGUAUCGUACAGGCGCAUGCUAGCUGGUGCUUUGAACUCCUUUGGCAUGUGCUGUGUAUGCUUCGUGUCUUGCUGCGUAGCUGCAACCAGGUUGCAUUGUCAACAUGGCAUGCAUUUCACAUUUAUCAUUGCUUGGUUGCCUUUUGCAAUGCCUUGACAUUCAACCUGCUGCCGCUGCCAGUUGGCACACCUGCCCCUUAGGAUGCAUGUGGGUGUGCAUGGUGGCUGCUUGAGUUGCUUGAUUCAUUUGACCCGUCUUGAAACACGGACCAAGGAGUCUGAUGCAUGUGCAAGCUUGUGUGUGUAUGACCUCGGGCGCAAUGGAAAUGACAGUUGGGAAAUGUGCACCAACAGCCAACUGACCAAUUGAGGGAGGUUUGAGUUCGAGUACAUGCAUUAGGACCCGAAAGAUGGUGAACUAUGCCUGAGAAGAACGAAUUCAGGGGAAACUUUGAUGGAGGUUCGCAGCGUUACUGACGUGCAAAUCGUUCGUCAUACUUGGGUAUAGGGGCGAAAGACUAAUCGAACCAUCUAGUAGCUGGUUCCCUCUGAAGUUUCCCUCAGGAUAGCUGGAAUUGCACAAUUUCAUCAGGUAAAGCGAAUGAUUGGAGGAAUUGGGGGUGUGUUGCCCUUGACCUAUUCUCAAACUUUAAAUGGGUAAGGUUCAAUGGUUGUUAUGUAAACCUUUGGGGUAAUGUGAAUUUUAUGUGGGCCACUUUUGGUAAGCAGAAUUGGCGAUGAGGGGUGAACCUAACGUUAGGAUAAAGUGCUGCAGUGCUCGCUCAUCAGACACCAUAAAAGGUGUUGGUUCAUUUAAACAGCAGGACGGUGGUCAUGGAAGUCGAAAUCCGCUAAGGAAUGUGUAACAACUCACCUGCCGAAUGGACUAGCCCUGAAAAUGGAUGGCGCUCAAGCGUGUGACUGAUACCUAGCCGCUGUCUUGAACAUGUUGAGAUGGUGAGUAGGGGGGUGCAAUAGUUUGUGAGGAAGCUGGGUGGAACAU